UACGUAGGGGGCUAGCGUUGUCCGGAUUUAUUGGGCGUAAAGCGCGUGUAGGCGGCUUUGCAAGUCGGGUGUGAAAGCCCUCAGCUCAACUGAGGAAGUGCGCCCGAAACUGCAGAGCUUGAGUACCGGAGAGGAUGGUGGAAUUCCCCAAGUAGAGGUGAAAUUCGUAGAUAUGGGGAGGAACACCGAUGGCGAAGGCGGCCAUCUGGACGGAUACUGACGCUGAGACGCGAAAGCGUGGGGAGCAAACAGG
rnacentral:rRNA from 1 species